AAGAAAUGAACAAAGAAAAGCAAAGACAAAAGGAAAAAAGAAAACCAAAGAAAAAAUAGUGUACAAAAGAAAAAAUAAAACAUGAAAAGGGAGAAUAGCAAAGAAAGAAAGAAAGAAAGAAAAACAAAGAGAAAAAAGAAACUGGAAACCUUGGGAAAUGCAUUGCAAACAAGUAAAGUGAAGGGGAAAGGAUAGAAACAAACAGGGGGACUGCCAAAUACAAAAUACUAAAGAAAUAGAUUAAGAAACGAAGUAAACCAAGGAAAACCGGAGUAAAAAACAAAAACAAAGAAACGUGGAGAAAACGGGUUAAAACGCAUGGAGAAACAAAGAAAACAAAGAAAUAAAAAAACAAAGAUAAAAAAGGAAAACUAGAAACAAAUGAAAUCCAAACAUAAAUGAAAAGAAAACAAAUUAAAAAUAAAAUAGAGUUAAAUCAAAGAAACCAGCUAAAGGAAACACAAAAAAUGAAAAA
rnacentral:lncRNA from 1 species